rnacentral:lncRNA from 1 species
CUCUAUAUAGCAAUCCAUUACUUCAAAAGAAAUUUGAAACGAGGGAGAAAAGUAUGAAUUUUGAAGAGGACCACACUCAUACAAUAUAGUAUACAUUUCAUUGUUGGAAGUGUAAUGGAAGAAAUGAGAAUCUAUUUUCACAUUAAUAUAAUGUUUGGGACAAGAGAGCUUAUCACCAGGAAGAAAACCCCAUAAAUCGUCUCUUGCAAUCCUUAAAACUUGAGAGGAUUGAUUUAUAUGAAGGAUGUAAAACUUUUGGGACAUCAUUUCCAUAGUCAAUCUACCAUUUUG